AUGUACCACUCGUACACUCCGGGUUUGAGCGCGCCGUCCGCACCGCCUGCCGACCGUUGACUACGUUUUGUUAGCC
rnacentral:sRNA from 1 species